CAGAGGGUGCAAGCGUUAAUCGGAAUUACUGGGCGUAAAGCGAGCGUAGUCGGUUAUCUAAGUCGGAUGUGAAAUCCCCGGGCUCAACCUGGGAAUUGCAUUCGAUACUGGGUAGCUAGAGUUCGGCAGAGGGAAGCGGAAUUUCUGGUGUAGCGGUGAAAUGCGUAGAUAUCAGAAGGAACAUCAGUGGCGAAAGCGGCUUCCUGGACCAGAACUGACGAUCAGGCUCGAAAGCGUGGGGAGCAAACAGGAUUAGAUACCCUGGUAGUCCACGCCAUAAACGAUGACAACUAGACGUUGGGGACAUAUGGUCCACAGUGUCGCAGCUAACGCGUUAAGUUGUCCGCCUGGGGAGUACGGCCGCAAGGUUG
rnacentral:rRNA from 1 species